rnacentral:rRNA from 1 species
UACGAGGGGGGCAAGCGUUGUUCGGAAUUAUUGGGCGUAAAGGGUGCGUAGGCGGUUGUUUAAGUCUGUCGUGAAAUCCCCGGGCUCAACCUGGGAAUGGCGAUGGAUACUGGGCAGCUAGAGUGUGUCAGAGGAUGGUGGAAUUCCCGGUGUAGCGGUGAAAUGCGUAGAGAUCGGGAGGAACAUCAGUGGCGAAGGCGGCCAUCUGGGACAACACUGACGCUGAAGCACGAAAGCGUGGGGAGCAAACAGG